rnacentral:rRNA from 1 species
UGCGCAGGCGGUUAUUCAAGCUUGAUGUAAAAGAUCCCGGCUUAACUGGGGGAAUGCAUUGGGAACUGGAUGACUAGAGUAUAAGAGGGGGAGUUGGAAUUCCAGGUGUAGGGGUGAAAUCUGUAGAUAUCUGGAAGAACACCGGUGGCGAAGGCGAACUCCUGGCUAUAUACUGACGCUGAGGCACGAAAGCGUGGGGAGCGAACAGGAUUAGAUACCCUGGUAGUCC